UUUUCUUAUUUCUUAUUCUGUUUUCUUUCUCGCCGAAACAUCUCCGCGCGCCUCUUCUCUCCCUCACUCCCGAACCCGACGCCAAGAGCCCUAACCGCCGGCUACUCGGCGGUUCUCUCUUCUUCUUCCUCAUCCCUUGCCCCUCACGAGGACAGCAUCCUCUGCCCUAGCCUUGCCGUGGAGUUCCCAGCGCCGUCGCCGCGACAGUUUUCCCUCUCCUCAGCCGUGGCCUAGGAGCAAGGGCCGACCGACUGUUCUACCUCCUGAUCGUCGGCCAUCAUCACUCGACUGCCAUCAUUCAUCGCCGGAGGUGCUUCUUGUGUUUGUGGUCAUUGUGGUCGCAGGAUUCUACCGAGCCUCUUCCCCAUCGGUUGAUUGUUGACGCUGGGCCCUGGUUCUUUUCUCCACUGCCGGCUUCUUCUUCCAUUAGCCACCGACAGAGAGGGAACGAGGGGCACUGGUUAGGAGAGGCAGAUUUGAGUAGCAGUAACUUCUAGUUCCGGUCAUUAUAUCACCAAGGCACGCGUCUCCG